UACGUAGGCAGCGAGCGUUGUUCGGAAUUACUGGGCGUAAAGAGUGUGUAGGCGGUGCUCUAAGUUCGGUGUGAAAUCUCCUGGCUUAACUGGGAGGGUGCGCCGGAAACUGGAGUGCUCGAACGUGGGAGAGGAAAGCGGAAUUCCUGGUGUAGCGGUGAAAUGCGUAGAUAUCAGGAGGAACACCGGUGGCGAAGGCGGCAUCCUGGACCAUUACUGACGCUGAGGCACGAAAGCUAGGGGAGCAAACAGG
rnacentral:rRNA from 1 species